AUUGAUUGACUGGUUGGUUGACUGACUGACUGACUGACUGACUGACUGAUUGGUUGAUUGGUAGAUAAAUUG